CGCAGUGAUGACAGCAAUCAGAUAUCGGACUAGAGUUUCCGAGGGCCACGGCUCGUUGACGAACUCGCUGAUUCCCUUGGCUGUCUGAGCG
rnacentral:snoRNA from 1 species